CUUCUUUUUCAGAUUAUUUGUUAUUAUCUUUACUGAUUUCAUUCUCCUUGUUUCAGAUUGUUUGGAUUUUGUUAUGUUUUAAAAGUUACUUAUUUUAUUGGAAUUUGGAUUUAAUUUUUUUGGGAUAUAAAUUUGUUCGUUACUUCGACAUCUAUUUGAGAUGAUUUUAUUAAUUUAUUUAUUUCGUUUCCGUGCAUUUCUAUGCUCUGUCAUCAACUGGUUUUGAAUUUAGGAGAAAAGAUUAUUAAUUUGUUUAUGUUUGUGAGAUUUCAUGGCUUGGUAGCUAAUAUUUGAUUGUUCAAGCCUUUCGUAGCUAACCUAUAUAUACACACACAUAUAUAUAUUUAUUUAUAUGUGAGAUUCCAUGGCUUGUUAGCCAAGAUCUGAUUUUUCAGCCUUUCAUAAACCACUACCACCAUAAUACUCCCCAUGGUUUGAACUUCAAAGCCAGUACCUCGUUGCACCAUUCACGACUCUUGAGGGCAGCACAGUCGCGAGCCACUGUCAUUGACCAAGCUAAAAUUUUUCAAUAUUGUGACUCGUUUCGAACUAUAGAAACAAACUGUUAAACUCAUCAAGAAAUCAAUGGACAUGAAGUACAUACAUGCUGCUGAAAAAAAUUAGGUGGACUGAGAUUUCUAAACUUAUAAUUGUCUUGAUUCUGAGUUCCUACCAAGAACUAAUAUGGUAACAAAUUAAUUAAGGGUUUAUUAUGAAAUGGAGAGUUCUAUUUUGCUUUAAUUAUUUUUUUUCUGGCUUCAAUUUCGUUUCAAAUUCUCUGCCCUGUAUGUGUUCUUCUUUAUUUUAUUUUUCUUGCAGAUUUAGUGAUUGCAAGUAGUAAAGGAUAGUCUCUUGCUCAUUCUUCAAAGGUUUUGCAGCAUAUGAUGAGUGGUCUCAUUACUUGCGUGUGCAUCUCAAUCUGUGGUUGAUAAGUAAAAAAUAGUUUAUUCCAUAGCCAUAUUUUACACUUGAUUAUUUCCGUUGGAUUAUUUUAAAGAAACUGAACAUGUAUGUUCUGCUGUUCUAGAACAAUAGAAAUGGAAAGUAGUAUCGAUAGAGAGGGAGGAUGACUUGGAUACUCUUUUGGAAAAGUAAUUGAUAUUUUAUUCUAUGAGAAUUGCACAGAAAGCUUCAAUGUGUUGGACUUCAAAGACUUAGCAAUAUUAAAAAAUUGGUGUAAUUAGAUUGCAAUAUUAAAAAAUUGGUGUAAUUAGAUUUAUAAUACAUUUACAAGUCCAAUUUAGUUGGUGCUUGAAUUGAGUUUGUUAGAAAUGUUUUGUAUUUGAUUAUAUGAAUAUUUUGUUGUUUUAGAUAA